rnacentral:rRNA from 1 species
AGAGAUGUGUGAUGACGCAUAUCAAUAAGCGGAGGAAAAGAAACUAACAAGGAUUCCCUUAGUAACGGCGAGUGAAGCGGGAAGAGCUCAAAUUUGAAAUCUUCAAGGUUCUACCUUGACGAAUUGUAGUUUAUAGAAGUGUUUUCUGUUAGUAGAGUGGCAAAAGUUCUUUGGAAUAGGACAUCAUAGAGGGUGAGAAUCCCGUAUUUGGUCAUUCUUUCUAGCUUUGUGAUACACUUUCAACGAGUCGGAUUGUUUGGGAAUGCAGUCCAAAAUGGGUGGUAAAUUUCAUCUAAAGCUAAAUAUUGGCGAGAGACCGAUAGCGAACAAGUACCGUGAGGGAAAGAUGAAAAGAACUUUGAAAGGAGAGUUAAACAGUACGUGAAAUUGUCAAAAGGGAAGCGUUUGACACCAGUGUUGUUUUUCCGAAAAUCAAUUACGAAUGUUUUGUUCUUGAGGAGUUAUGACUUCAUCGGCUUGCUUCUUUCUUUACGAAACUUUCUUAAUGCACUUUUCGGUUAACAAGUCAACAUCAAUUUCUUUUGUUGUAAAAGGGUAUGAGGAAGGUGGCUUUCUUUUCGGAGAAAGUGUUUAUAGCCUUGUACCUCUGCAAUCGGAGAGAUUGAGGUCUGCAGCGUAGAUCCUUCGGGGUUAGAUACAUUUGUGCUAAGUUAUAGCUUUUCAUAGACAACUUGUUGACUAUGUUUAGUCUUGUAGCUUACUCGCUUAUGCUAUUUUACCUACGCUUAGGAUGUUGAUCUGUAGUGCGUGCGC